UGGAACUUCAACUGAAGAUGGAGUGAGCUGUUUUGAUAGUGAAGCCUCAUCAGAUGAGUAUUAGCUAUGGCACUUGAAGCUCUCAAACUUGUAUGUCAAAACAAGGAGCUCUUUUUAUUAGUAAGAAGAGAAUUGGUGAGAGGACUACCUCGUCUGGAAUUCAAAUUGGAUGAAGGAUAUGAGUUAUGUCAAAAUAGGGAAGUCGAAAGAACAUCGCACAGAAGCAAAGAUAUGAUCAACAUUACUGAGCCGCUUCAGAUGAUACGUAUGGAUUUCUACGGAUCAGCUAAUGUCAUGUCUGAAAACAAAGCUAGAUAUCUUUUUGCGAUGAUCAUUAACUACUCUAGAUUCUUUCGUGUUGUUCGUAUGUGUUCGAAGGACAAGACAUCACAAAUAGAGGUUGAUCAAGAUGAACCCUGAUUGUUGAUAAAUCCAGAAAGGCACCAUUUUUGUUAGUGGCCAAUCAGAAGCAAACACUAUCCUUGGUAUGUGUUUGGAGGAAAAUGCUUCAUCUCGAAAUUAGUGUGAGCAUCUUUGCAAGUCUUGCAUUUGAAUCUCAAAGAAUACUUUCCUCGGCUACUCUAUGGAGUCUACAGUCUACAGGGUGAUUGUGAUUAAUCAACAGAAGGUGAUUGUAAGUCUGGACAGGACAUUGAAC
rnacentral:lncRNA from 1 species